rnacentral:lncRNA from 1 species
CGGCAGCUACGCCCCGGAGACUUAGCGAGCGCCGCUGACGCCUUCCGCCGGCCUCUCGUCGCUGCCUGGCCUGAGGACCGGACGCGGGUGUCCAGUGGAUCCAGGCUCCUCUUGAGAGCCCCCAGCCGCUCCCCCAGCUUCUGUGCUGCCAGACUCUGCUGACUGUCAUGCCCACGGGCGAGCCCGGUGUGUGUGACACGGGGGUGUGUGUGACACAGUUGUCUCUGCAGCCUUGUGCUAAAGUGUGUGGUCGCAGUUGCUUUGGAAGCCAGAGGGAGAGGAGUGCGUCUCUGGGCUGUUCGAAGCUUCCGACUCGGGCUUUGGGAGCGCCUGGUGGUGGGUGAUUCUGACGCCGGGCUGUGCUGGGUGAGACCCACAGUGUGGCCUUGGGUGUGGCCCUUUGUGUCGACCCACGUGGUUUAAGCACUCAGAGCUAUGCGAAAAAACAUGCUCAGCCUCUCCCUAUAAAGCUUUCUCUGAACCCCACCACGGAAGGAACCCUGAGUAAGAACAGCUUUCCCUG